UACACUCCUACGGGAGGCAGCAGUGGGGAAUAUUGGACAAUGGGGGCAACCCUGAUCCAGCCAUGCCGCGUGAGUGAUGAAGGCCCUAGGGUUGUAAAGCUCUUUUGUGCGGGAAGAUAAUGACGGUACCGCAAGAAUAAGCCCCGGCUAACUUCGUGCCAGCAGCCGCGGUAAUACGAAGGGGGCUAGCGUUGCUCGGAAUCACUGGGCGUAAAGGGUGCGUAGGCGGGUCUUUAAGUCAGGGGUGAAAUCCUGGAGCUCAACUCCAGAACUGCCUUUGAUACUGAGGAUCUUGAGUCCGGAAGAGGUGAGUGGAACUGCGAGUGUAGAGGUGAAAUUCGUAGAUAUUCGCAAGAACACCAGUGGCGAAGGCGGCUCACUGGUCCGGUACUGACGCUGAGGCACGAAAGCGUGGGGAGCAAACAGGAUUAGAUACCCUUGUAGUCCCAUGA
rnacentral:rRNA from 1 species